ACUGAAAGGGAAGGACGCCUUGUUUUUUCCUGAGUUGCUUCUGGGUUCUUUGACCACAGUUGACGGGAGGAUAACAGCCGAGGGUCAUCACCGCGUUACAAUUGUGGGAACUGGCGAGGCCCUGUGGCUUGCCUGGGGACCGGUCACUAUGCAGCGGAGGCCCAGCGGCAGGAAGACUGGACCUCCAGGAGGACCGGAGGCGGGUCCUGCCGUCUCUCCCGGACCGAGUGCUCAAGAACUCCACACACGGUCCCUCCCUAGACGGUGCUCUCCGGGGUGAGGGGAAAAGAACCACUGAUGAGAAACAUCCAUUUAAAAUAAAUAGUUUAUUCAUCCAGCGGUUUAAACCCUG